GUCAGAAGCUUCAGGGUCUUCCUCGUCUGCAGAUGAAUUAUAAUCAUCUUCAAAGUGAAUAUCGAGGCUAGAAAGCUUAUCGGCUGGAAGACUUGAAGAUUGCCGAAAGUCCACUGCCAUAUUUAAAGAUUGACUCAACGACUCACUAUCGGAGCUAAUUAUCUCAGUUACAGUAUCAUUAGCUUCAGUUUCAACCCAAGCAGUAUAAUAACGCACUACAUGUUCAUGAUGUAAACGAGACAAAGUCAUAACUUCACGUAAAAUUCUGCUAUUCUCUUUAUCAUCGCUCAAAAGGACAAGCUUUUUAACCGCAUAAAACCUUCCAUCAAUUCGAUUUUUGACUUUAACUACUUCACCAAAACCGCCACGUCCUAAAAAUUCAAGUUCUUCAAAAUCUGUUUCAUAACGUGAAACGCUUUUCCUGUACAACAAAUCAAUAAUUCCAUCCUGUUGACCACCAUAAGAAGGGCGUGCAGAUUUUGAAAAGGUACCCUGCUCAACUGGAGGAAGAACUGCUGUACCCAAACGAAUGACAUGACUACUUAACAAGUCAAUGGCGCUAGGGCGUUUCCUUGAAUCGCGCAUUAAACAGCGACGAACCAAAUCUUGAUAAGACCCCGGAAGAAGAGGAAUUACAUGAGUCAUAAUCAGUUUUAGUGAAGAGAAUUUAUUCAAAACGUGAGCUCCACAAAGCAUCUGCAAUACUAAUAGUCCAAAACACCAGAUGUCAGUUUUUCUCGAUGCAGCUGCAAAUGAUGACUCAGAAACCUCUGGGGGAUACAGCCCUUCCGGUAGAAUAUUGGUAAUGGAUUGAGAAUUAAUGUUAAAAGGAUGAGAUGCGUUCAUGUCUCGUAAAGUGCGUGUAAACCCAAAAUCCAUUAGCUUUGCAAAAGUUCUAUGGCCUGAAUGAAAAAGCACCACAUUGUCCAAGUGCAAACUUUUGUGUGAAAUUCCAAGACGAUGCAGCUCAGCUAAACCUUCUAAAAUAUUGUUUGAAAAAGCUCUAACGGUUUCAACGUCUAAAGUAAGGACGGUUUGUAAAAGACUAAACAGAGUGAACUUCGGAGAAUAUUCUUGCAAAACGUACAACCUCCAACCAUAACCUCGUGUCUCUCUUUCCAGU